CUUUUAAAGGACUCCUAGUCUAAUGCCG
rnacentral:tRNA from 1 species